rnacentral:lncRNA from 1 species
CCAGAACACCCUGGGCUGUUACUUGCCUUGAGUUGGAAACAGUUUGCAUUUACACCUGUAAAUUUAUUCAUCCUUCUAAUUUAUGUAAGGUUUUUUUUUUUGGUAUGCAAUUCUUGAUUCUUUAAGAGGUGACAACAAAUUUUGGUUUUCUACUGUUAUGUGAGAACAUUAGGCCCAAGCAACAAGUCAUUGCGUAAGAAAACGUAGAGUGCUACUGCUGUUUAAAAAAAAAAAA